UCGUAUUGUAUACUACGGGCCUUCGUACGUAUAUACAGUAUGGGGCCCCGUAUUGUAUACAUACGGUGGCCUGUAGUGUACAAUACGAGGUGGGUAUACGUUUCCUCUUCUACUUUUUGUUAGGGGCACCGAAGCACACCUCUUAUAUCUAUCACCCUAAACAAAAUGUGCAUUGCUGAUACAAAUAAUCUUUAUUUUGUUUACA
rnacentral:lncRNA from 1 species